AUACUACUUCCUUCAUUUCAAAUUACUCGUCGCAGAAAUGGAUGUAUCUAAAACUAAAAUACAUUUAGAUACAUUCAUACCCGCGACAAGUAAUUCGGAACGGAGGAAGUACUAU
rfam:Triticum aestivum genome assembly, contig: Triticum_aestivum_CS42_TGACv1_scaffold_485641_6AS